GUGAGGAAUAUUGGUCAAUGGGCGAGAGCCUGAACCAGCCAAGCCGCGUGAGGGAAGAAGGCGCUCAGCGUCGUAAACCUCUUUAGCCGGGGGACAAAACCUCCUCGCGAAGGAGGCUUGAGAGUACCCGGAGAAUAAGCAUCGGCUAACUCCGUGCCAGCAGCCGCGGUAAUACGGAGGAUGCGAGCGUUAUCCGGAUUUAUUGGGUUUAAAGGGUGCGCAGGCGGACAUUCAAGUCUGCGGUCAAAUUCCGGGGCUCAACCCCGGCCAGCCGUGGAAACUGAAUGACUUGAGUGGGCGAGAGGUAUGCGGAAUGCGCGGUGUAGCGGUGAAAUGCUUAGAGAUCGCGCAGAACUCCGAUUGCGAAGGCAGCAUACCGGCGCCUUACUGACGCUCAGGCACGAAAGCGUGGGGAUCGAACAGGAUUAGAAACCCGAGUAGUCC
rnacentral:rRNA from 1 species